ensembl:lncRNA
CCCAGAGUUGUUUUCUGCAUUGCCACCAGGCUGCUGUGGUUUCGCUGGGGUUGCUUUGAGUGCAAAGGGCUGUGGAAGUUCUUUACCACGAGACUGAAGUGCUGGAACAGGCUGCCCAGAGAUGCUAUGGGUGCCCCGUCCCUGGAGGUGUUCAAGGCCAGCCGAACUUGCAAGAGAAGAUACACACUUUGCAGUGACCCAGCAAGAAAAGCAGCUGGCAGCUCAGGAGACAGGCACCAAUAUGCACCAGUCAUUGACAACGUGCUCAGAACACGGCCAACUUCAUUGUAAAGGUGCGGCUCAAUGUGGAGUCACAUAUGUUGCCCACAAUCAGCACCACUGUGUGGUAUUGCAGAGAGGUUUUGGUAAGCAUGACUUCGCUUCACUUUGGAGAAGGCCGAGUCGGAAGAGUCACCACAAACGUGCACCAAACGACAGAUCUGUAGCGAGGCUCUACAGGCCUGAAACACGGGGUGAACUGCAUCGCGGUGAAGCCCAUCAGGGUACUGUGAGCACUGAAACAGGCUGCCCGGGGCAGUGGGCACGGCCCCGAGCUGUCAGAGUUCAAAAAGCGUCUGGAGAACGCGUAGGAAGGUGCGCGCGUAACACGACGCGUGGCCGUGAGGGCCGUGAGGGCCCCGCGGGGCCUUGCCGGGGCCACCGCCGUGCAGUGCUGCCGAAGCGCCACCAGAGGGCGGCAGAGCGCGGCUCCCGCCGGUGCCUCCCGGUAUCCCCGCGCUGUGCCGGCGGCAGGGGGCACGCGGGCCGCCCUCUGCGCCUCGGAGCAAUCAGCAAGAGCCUUGACAAGUGCUGCCAUAAGGAUCUGACUAUCUGGCUUUUUUGAAUGAUUCCUGAAGGCUGCGAUUCAAUGUCUCCGUGUAAUGGAAUUGAUUUCCUUCAGUUAAGUUGGUUUCUCCCUUGGUUUUCUGUGAUGGCUUUAACCUGCAGCGCCAUGAGCAGGCAAUCUGAAGGCUGUGGUUGGUGACUCAUGCCAUUAGUUUUGCCUCUGGCAUUGCUACGGAAAAUCCAUUUCCGUCCAAACUGAAGCUGUCUGUUGAGCGUUAUGUAGUGUGCUGCCUUCGUUUUCUUUUCAAUGAAAAGCUCUUCCAUCUAGAAAUACACGUUCAGACUCUUGCAUUCCAGGUUUCCCCUGGCAAUCCUGGCAUUGGAUCUUGUGAAGGAAACACCUGGCCCUUGGACUACACAAAGUCUAACAUCAGAGGCGCCAAUCAGCACUGUGAUGUUAUGCAUUCCAAAAGCUGAAAGCGUCUGGCGAAUGAAGCAAGAAACUGCACAAAGGGAAAGUCUGGUGAUUCAGUCAGCUGCUCCAUGCCCAGAGAAGUGGCCUACGGCCCUGCCCUUCCCACAGCACUCUCCAUUCCUCAUGCUGGUGGCCAGCCAUCUACUACAGACAUUACUGAAGAGCAGUACUUGCAUCGUCGCCUUUAGGCAACUGAAAAGUAUGACUGACAUAAAAAUCCAGAGCUUUCAAAUCCAGAGGCCCUCAUUGCUGGUAGAAACAAGAGAGGGAAAUAUAUUCAUAUUCUAGACAGGCACUAGAGAGAGGUUCUCUGCUUAAAACUGGACUAAAUCUCCAGCUUCAUACGUCAACAUGAAGGGAGGAGUAACUCAGCACUGCUCUCUCCAGCAUCACAAGGCUCUGAAGGUACUGCCUCUGACAGACUUUUUUUCUCUGAGUGGAUGAGUUAUUGAUCAAGUAAGAGAUAAAAAAAAUAGGCACUUACUUUGUGCCACAUUGCUCUGGUCAGUGAUAGAAGCUCACUGCUGGAUACCGAUCUUAAUACAAUCUCAUGAACUCAGCAGAUCCUUUUCCUUAGUCUGCACUAAUGUCAUAUUAAGUGUCUUUGUGUUUUUUACCAUAUUAAGCAUUUCUGAAACUUGAAGAUUGAUUUUGGUUUGAUUUUAAAGGGCUGAGAGAUUUUAGAAUUAGAUUUUAAUAGCCAAUUAUAGAUUAUUAAACAGUGGAAAAAAUUUAAAGCCAUUAAAAUAAUCUUUUAAACCUUCCUUAAAAUUACAUGCGAUCCACUGAGAAUAUUCGUCCAGCUGUAUUUGAAAAAUAUUAAUUGGAAGUCAGUGCAAAUAUAAAUGCUAAUGUGAACUUAACCAGAACGUGAGGGUUUCUGAACUGGAAAAGCUCUCAGAGCACACAGAAGUCACCUGUCAAGGUGGUUUUGGGACAACCAUAUGUACUAUGGGAUGACGGAGGGCAAAAAUUACGGGGGGCCACUAUGUGACUAAUUCUGCUUACUUCUAUUUUGUUUGUUUGAACAUCAGAAAUUCCUCACACGUAUCCUGUGUCUUCCAGUGAUUUGUUACACCUCUGUAAAAUACUGAUUUCAUUUCUAAGGGUGUUUCUGCCUUUAAAGAGCAGUAUCUGUCUGGCUCAGUUGGCAGUGCUGACCGGAAUAAAAACAAACAAACAACAAAAAACAAAAAUAAAUGAACAAAUAAAUGAAAAACAUCCCUGAUCAAAUAUCAGUAACUGUUACAGAACAGGAACUAAAAGAGGGGAGAUUUAGGUUAGAUGUUAGGAGGAAAUGCUUUCCCCAGAGGGCAGUGAGGUGCUGACACAGCUGCCCAGAGAAGCUGUGGUGCCCCAUCCCUGGAGGCGCUCAAGGCCAGGUUGGAUGGGGUCCUGGGCAGCCUGAGCUGGUGGGGGGCAGCCCUGCCCACGACAGGGUUUGGAGUAGGGUGGGCUGUGAGGUUCCUUCCAACCCAAAUCAUUCUGUAAUUCUAUGAUUAUGAAUGUUACAUUUCAAUUAAUGUUAUCAUAACAAUGCUAUGGAUAUGAUUUUUCUUAUCUCAGCUUGCUGGGAAAUAGUGUAAAGAAUUUUCUGAAUGGGUAUAGCCUUUGGGGUGCCUGAGAUAAAGUAUUUUCACACACAUCCACCCCAUGUGAAACGUGCAGAAAGCCAAAAUAAACCACUGAAUUGGAUUUUGCCUUCGCUUCAGGAAGGACAGAAUAGUAGGGACUAUUUCUCAUACUUGAUCGCUAAUUUGUUGGCCAGUCAUCGUGGCAAUUAAGGAAAAAUGAUCACCUCAGUCCAAGCUGAGUGAAAUAAAGGGGAGAUUUCUUGUUAUGGCUGGGAAAAUCACAGAAAGCAUCACAGAAAUACGGAAGGAGCUAUGAUGGAUAUGCAUGGAGAAGACAGAGAACAGAUGCAGCAAAUAGGAAGCAUCAACUACUGAUAUGACAGAGAUUCAGAAUCACAGAAUGUCUUAGGUUGGGAGGGACAUCAAAGCCUACCCAGUCCCAACCCCUGCUGUGAACAGGGCUGCC